AUUGAACGCUGGCGGCGUGCUUAACACAUGCAAGUCGAUCGGUAACGCGUGGGCAACCCUGGCGACGAGAGGCGGACGGGUGAGGCACGCUUGGGAAUCUGCCUAUCAGUGGGGGACAACACGGGGAAACUCGUGCUAAUAUCGCAUACGCUCUACGCAGGAAAGCAGGGGACCGCAAGGCACUGCACUGCUGGAUGCGCCCAAGCCGGAUUAGCUAGUUGGCGGGGUAACGGCCCACAAAGGCAACGAUCCGUAGCUGGUCUGAGAGGACGAUCAGCCACACUGGGACUGAGACACGGUCCAGACUCCUACGGGAGGCAGCAGUGGGGAAUAUUGGACAAUGGGCGCAAGCCUGAUCCGGCCAUGCCGCGUGUGUGAAGAAGGCCUUAGGGUUGUAAAGCACUUUCAGUGGGGAGAAAGGUUAUUCACCUAAUACGUGAGUAAAUUGAUGCUACCCACAGAAGAAGCACCGGCUAACUCCGUGCCAGCAGCCGCAGUAAGAC
rnacentral:rRNA from 1 species